UCCAAACGCUGAUCUUCCCACUGUCCACUCCCCCAGAUUCCAUGAGUCAAGGGUCAGUACACUGAUGCAGAAUUGUGGACCUCUGACGCACACGUCCCACCCCGCCCCCACCUCUGGGGGCCUGAGCAGUGUUAAUCCACAACCUUUUCUGGCUCGGAAAGCUGAGACAGGAGGGCUAUGGGGAGCUUAGGGGGGUAGAGGCUUAAAAUGGAAGGAGGAGACCCGCUCCUGGGGCAAAUACUAGGCAGCUGGGCAUAGCAGGCCAAGGGAAGGGGUAUGCCAAGUGGCUGCCCUCCCCCAGUCACCUGCCGAAGCUUAGCCCCAAGAGGAAAAGGCAGAAAGAGGGGCCUGAUGCCCUCUGCCGAACUAUUCCCAAGGCAAGAAGGCCCAAGCCUUGGGACGUAGGAGGGAUAGUGGCCUAUUGACAGUGGAAGGCUAGAGAGAAUAGUGAGGAUCAGUCCCAAGCUCUGGCCAUCUUUUCUCACCAGAGACCCUGCAGGGCUGUUGCACAACUCUAGGGGGCGCCUUUCACAUGGUGCAGGGGGUCCUUCUGUGAUGAUUAGGAGGCAUGGACACAGCUUGCCAAGUCGGUACCUAGAUUCCCCAGGGUCCUCCAGGAUUGCCCUUUCCCCUCUCCAGAUCUCUGCAUCCCCUGCAUGGGUGGAGGACAGGCAAGGAGGGUGGGGGGUGGGGGGAGGGCAUUAGAGACCUGGGACCUGUAAUCCCAACCGGAUGUAAAGGCCGAUUUGCAUGAUGUCCACAGGACAAUCACACACUUCAUACCAUUUCCCCCAGAGCCCCUAUCCCAAUGGGAUUAGAUUUUCCUCCACUACAGGAUAGGGAGCUCCUACCCGGCCAGGGGGGAAGGGGUGCUCAAGACCAUCUGAGGGCUCUUCUGCCCCAUGUUCAAGUCAGCGAGAGAAGAGGAGGCUACCAGCCAUCCUAAUCUGGUACAUAUCCACUGGCCAGUGGAGGAUGCAGACAGAAAGGGAAAGAGAUCCCAUUAUACUCAGAGAGCCCAGGAGCUCAGCCCUCACUCACAAUCUGGUCUGGUACGAGUACCCCUCCUCUCCCACUGGCACCGGCAUCUGUGCCCCAGGAUCAGUGCCUUACUCCCUCAGGACAUCCCCCCACCCCACCCCCGCUUCCCAGAUGUGCCGGGUGCCAGGCUGGCAUUUCUCCUAGUAUGUUUUCUGCUGACCCAUCUCUCACUGCCUAGGGACAGGAAGGGCAGAGAGGCCUGAGGCCCAGACCCCUGGGGUCCACCUCCUUCCUGUUUUCCCUGCAUCCUGCUUUCCUCCGCUAACAAGCUGCAGAGGAUUGAGGAAGUGGAGCGGUCUGGGACCCAGGGCAGGAAGCUUGGGGCCGGAGUCCCAGCAUCCGGACUGCAACAAUGGAAGCUUCAAGCACCAGGAAAAGAGACAGACACAGACAGAGGCAGAGGGAGAACAAAUCAGUCAGAGAGGGAACCAGAAACAGAGGCAGAAAUACAGAAAGGCAGACAGAGAGAGAGAGAUUCCAAAAGUAACAGAGAAAGGCAGGAACAAAGAAAGAGAAACAGUGACAGAGACACGGAGAGAAAGCAACAGAAAGGGGCGGAGGACAAAGAGAAGCAGAAAGGGAGCAAGACCGAGAAAGAGAAACUGAUAACAGGCGGAAGUCAUUGAGGAAAGGAGAACUCGGGAAUGUUGGUCGUGAAACUAGAGACAGAGACAGAGCGGGAGAUAACAAAAGAAUAAGAGAGAAGGAAAGACUGAGAACGAUUAUAAGGAGAAACUGAGAGAGGCUCACUAAGAAACGGAAAAGGAGAAAGUGUAAGAAUGAGUUUAGGGCAAAGGGCCCUCUAAACCUCUCUCCCUCUCUCUCUCUCUCCCGCUCUUCCUCCCCGCCCCCCCCCCCACCCUCCCUCUCCCUUCUCUCUACUCCCUAUCCCACACCGUUAGGUUUCUACAGCUCUCGGCUGGGAGCCAAGACUCGCUUCUCUUCUGCUACCUCAGACGACACCUGCCAGGAGAGAGGAACGGGGUGCCUGUGUACCAGAGCAAGAUGAGGUGCCCAGGCCUGGCAGAGAGACCUCUGUCUUCCCAAUACCUCUCAAACAGCAAGGUGAGCUGCCCAGGGGCGUUAGGGAGGGGCAGCUCUGAUGCCCCUCACCACCAAAGCCCCUCUAAUUUGGAUGUCCCACUCCACCCCACCUGGAUGUCAAAAGGCCACGCCCUGGCUUCUUAGACCCCUGGGCUUUCACCUGUGGCCAGGAUGAGGGAAGUCCCUGGAUCAGGAACAGAAAGCCACCACCACCACCACCCAACCCAUCCUCUAGUUAUCUGGCCCUAGGCCGCUCACUUGCAGGCUGGGUGGCUGGACCGAGUCACAUAAUGUUCCACUGUUACCCCAGCCGCUGGGACAACCAUUGAGACCUCUCCUCCCAAAUAGGCACCCUUGAGGAGGUUGGAGAUGAAGGGCUGGGACAGAGUCUUCUUUGCUGGGGGCGACAGCCUGCUAGGGACUCAACAGCAGUUUCCUUAGAAGGAAGCGGCGCAGUUUGGAAGCCGUGGCAGGCGCCGAGAGCGCCUCUGAACCCGAGCCUGGGAGGGGAGAGAGAGAAGAGGAGACGCAAGGGGGCUGCUCUUUGGCCCCAUUCCCCGACCUUGGAGGAUUCCUCCCCUACCCACCCCCCAGGCGGCUGCAGUCCCCCCCACUGAGAACCCGACCUCCUCGCCUGGACUCCCGGCUCCGCGGAUUCGGUCUCCCUGACCAGAGCCCUUUCCACCCCACCCUAGCGCUUCCAGUCCCAACCACUGGAGACCUAGUCGAGCGAAGUGGGGAAAGGGCAGCAAGCACCCAACGAGGGACCCAGAAGAGCCUGAUGGCCCUAAGAACCCCUUGUAGAUUUGUGUAGCUGUUAUGACAGUUUUCCAGCAGGUGGCAGACAAGCAUUUCCAGCUACAAGGCAGCCAAGCCAAAGUACAGAUCAGAGACCAUCUUCCAGACUCCCAGGACAGCGAUCUUUCAGUCUCCCAGCAAGUAGGCCCCCUUCCACUUUCUCCAAGUGUAAACUGUCCAGGUGAUAGGAAGAAGAGAGGGGCUGGAAGCUGAACUUGUAGGGACAGAACAUAAAAGUUGCAAACUGACGGCACCUACUGGCAACUAUCAAGACUGCAGAAGAUCUGGAGAGUUCUGACGGGGUGGGGGGCGGGAGGGCCCGGGGACAAGAUUCUGGGAUUCUCUCCCUGCUAUCUCACAGACAAACUGGGGUCUUUUCUGUCUUGGAUAAGGGCAAACAGAGCCAGGCUCUUUACGUCCCCGGGGGAAGCCCAGCCUGCACCUGAUUCAGAAAACUUCCCCUAGCUCUAUCCCCCUCCAUCAUCACUGAGGCGCCAACGUAUUGUAUGAACUUGGACACCACCCCUUAGAGCUGGAAUUGUCCCUAACUAUAAAAUGGAGGUACAUCAUCUCCACCUAUUCUGCCUCUUGAAGCGCUUGUGGGAAUAAAAUGGGAACUGAAAGGAUGGGUUCCAACCCCAAAGCCAGACUUGCCCCCUUGACAGCAAACCUGAGAGAGCUAAAGGUGCUGGGACAUGGAGGAAGGAGUUGCAGGAGAGGCUGGACUGAAGCCAAGAGAAGGACCUGGAAGUGAAGCAUGAGUGCAGGUGUGCCUGUCCUGUUUGGCCUCCUGAAUGUCAGGUCAGUGCCUAUCUGGGUGAGGAAUUUCAAGAACUUUGGGACCUCUGGGAUGGCAGUGGAGGUAGGACAGAGGAACAGAAGGAAGAUGGAGGAACAAUUUUAACUUGGUCCCCACCUCUCUGCUGAGCUCAGGUGAGACAUGUUGAUGUAAGAGCGCCUCAUCUAUCCACACCCCCAGCUCACCUUAGCCUUAGAAGUGAUCUGAGACUGGAACACCUGGGUGGCUCAGUUGGUUAAGCGCCUGCUGUUGGCUCAGGUCAUGAUCUCACGGUUCAUGGGUUCGAGCCCUACAUCCGGGCUCUCUACUGUCUGCUGGGAGCCUGCUAUGGAUCCUCUGUCCCCUCUCUCUCUGCCCCUCCCCUCCUCAAUAAUUAAUUAGUUAAUUUUUAAAAAGUGAUCUGGAAAGAACAGAAAAUCUAAGGGAAGGAUUGGAGGUCAGGGUCUUGUGAAUGAGAUUGCUUGGGCUUUCUCUUUACCUACUCCAGUUAGAACCAGGGUUCAUUCACCCUAGUGCAGAAUUCUCCCUCCUUUUCACUUCAUGGGGAUGCAGCCUUACUCAGGAAAAGUCUCCUCUAGGACUCUUGCAGCUGACCCCUUCUGCCCCUUCUGGGUUUUCAUUCCAUCAGUUCCCUCACUGAAUCUUUGAGUUCAAGUUACAAAAGCCCUGGGACAGCCCCAGUGUCCCCAAAGGCAGCACAGCCAAUGUCAGCAAUGGGCACUGAGUCUUCCACUGAAUCCCAAGAGUAUGGAGCAAACUGUUGGUACAGUGGGUCCCAGCUUCCAGGGGGUAGUAAACAGAGGCAUGUGCGGAUCUUUCCUUUCACUCUGGGGUUUGACUGCUUGGCUGUCCCUCCAGAGUUGGCACUCCAGCACAAGAGGGCCUGCCGCUGGGUAUGCUGCCCCCAGGUGGACAAUGAUAGUACUGAUAGCAUUCACAGUGGGUCUCCUGGAGAGUGGGCAUUGUACCAGGUGUUGAAGGUUCCAAAGGAGCAGGCCUUCAGAAGAGCUUGUGGCCAGAAGAGGGAGACCUGCAGCUAAACACACAACGAUCAGUGCUAUGUAACAAAGAGAAAUGUACUGGAUGCCAAGAAAGCACAGAGGAGCCCGGAGUGCGUGAUUAGAGAGAACUUCAAAGGGAAGUGAUGUGGGAUCUUGUCUUAAAAGAUAAGUAGAAAUUUACAAUCUAGAGGGAAUUACCUAACCCCCUUAAUCUGCAGUUUCCUCAGUAUAAAGGCUUGGUGUAAAGAUUAGGGGGAAAAUUAUGUACAGGGCUGGUUACUAUGUCUAGUACAUAAUUGGCACUCAGAAAACUUAUAUGGUUUUUAGGAAAUGGCUCCGAUGGUGGGGGCUGACAGGUCUGCAAUUUGUAGGCAGACUGGCAGCUGGAGACUCUUGUGGAAUUUCUGUUCCAGUCCUGAGACAGAAUUCUUUCUUUUCUGAGAAACCUCCAUUUUUUGCUCCUAAGGCCUUCAACUGAUUGGAUGAGGCCCACCAGCAUUACAAAGGCAUUACAAUCCUUUUUUUCAAAGUCAUCUGAUUGUAAGUGCUAAUUACAUCUACAGACUACCUUCACAGCAACAUCUAGGUUAGUGUUUGACCCAACUGGAUGCCAUAAUCUAACCAAGUUGACACAGAAAAUUAACCAUCACAGAGGUCAUUCGAGGCAGAGGCUACUCCAGGCAGGGACUAUGUUAUAUUUUUCUAGUUGAUUAUGCUUUCUGAGAAGUUGCUCUUUGUUAAAUGGGACUAUGUUUGAAUACUAUAAACAAUUUAGAGCACAAUUUACAGAAACAAACUCCUGUGUAAAAUCACCGUAACAUCUUAAAGUUAGAAGGGAUUUUAUAGAUCACUAGAUAUAACCCUCACUUUGGAGAGAUCUCUCUUACAACAUACUCAGAAAAUGGUCGUCUAGACUCCAACAUUCCAGUGGUAAGAAAAGUCCCUAGAUCCUAAGAAUGUCUAUUCUUGACCAGCUCUAAUUGGAAACUUUUUCUUUACAUGGUACUUUCUUACAUCAGUACCUCUCAUUAAUUAUUCUUUUUUACUUAUCAAAGACAAAUCUUAUCCUGAAUUUUUCCUAUCCUUGAAUAGAAUACUUCCUUAUUUGCCCUAAAUGUUUAUUGAUCAGGUCAAAAUUCUUUUUUGUUUAAUUUUUUUAAUUCUAGUAUAAUUUAUAUACAGUGUUAUAUUAGUUUCAAGUGUACAAUAUAGAGAUUCAAUUGUUCUAUACAUUAUUCAAUGCUCAUCACGAGAAGUGUACUCUUAGUCCCCUUCACCUAUUUAACCCAUCUCCCCACCCACCUCCCUCUGCGGUAUUUGUUCUCUAUAUUUAAGAGUUUGGGGGUUUUGUUUGUCUCUUUUUUUCUUUGAUUGUC